rnacentral:tRNA from 1 species
GUUUGAUUAGCUCAGUUGGUAGAGCGAUCGACUCAUAAUCGAUGGGUCACAGGUAUGCCUACGGCACGCUACGCGAACAACUCCUGUAUCAAACC